GACAGAGGUGCCGAGCGUUAGGCGGAAUCACUGGGCUUAAAGCGUGUGUAGGCGGGCGGGCAAGUACCUUGUGAAAUCCCACGGCUCAACCGUGGAACGGCUGGGUAUACUGCCUGUCUUGAGCCAACUAGGGGCGAGCGGAACAGACGGUGGAGCGGUGAAAUGCGCAGAUAUCGGGAGGAACACCAGUGGCGAAGGCGACACGCUGGGCCGUACCUGACACUGAACCGCGACAGCAUGGGGAGCAAACAGG
rnacentral:rRNA from 1 species